rnacentral:lncRNA from 1 species
AUGCCUUUGGAAAAUAUUUCCUAUUACCAUUGUUAUCACCUAUACUUCCUUCCAACAGUUUAAUAACUUUUAGUUGAAAAAAAUCUAUUUCUUGCAUUUGUGUGGAUAUUAUUUUUUACCUAUGCUAAGACAUUGGGACUUGUAAGUAUUUUUAGACUCUUGUCAAUUAUCUUAUCAUCAUUUAUUUAAUAAAUCACUAUCAUCUCUAUGGAAUUUAAAUUAUAUUUGUCCUAAAUAUUCACAUAUGACAAUAUAUACAUCUUUUUGUGUCUCAUUACUAUAUUUACCUUAAUACUAUAUUAUAAACUUUGUUAUACUUUCUAUAGCUUCACCAUAAGCUAAUAAGGCUAUUAUCAUGCACCCUUAUUUGCUCUUACAUGCUAAAAUUUUCUUUUUUGGAAUGGUCACUAUAACAGAAGUGGACAGAUCUGUGUAAUCUAAGAUAGUCAACCUCACAUAAACAGAGAGAAGAAAGGUGGUUACAAGAGAUUGGAU